CCAUGAGGGAAAGAUGAAAAGGACUUUGAAAAGAGAGUUAAAAGUGCCUGAACUUGCUGAAAGGAAAGCGGAUGGAACCAGUUUUGCUUGGUGAGAUUGUUGCACGCAGCAAUGACCACCUUCUAUUCCAGCGCAAGCGGGGUGGUGGGCUGUGAUUUGUUCGGGUGUGAUGUUUCUUGCCUUGUGUGUCAUCAUCAGUUUGGCGGUGGGGACAACUCUUGGGACCUGGUAGCUUGCCUCUGGGUGAGUGAAUGUGCCUUGCAGGACCCACCAACAAACUGUUCAUCAUUUGUGGGGCUGCGUUGCAUCGUGGUGUGUGCUCUUGCGAGCUUCACACGCGUGGCACCUUCCUUACAAGCAAAUGGUGACGAAAUGGUUCUAUUCGACCCGUCUUGAAACACGGACCAAGGAGUCUAACAUAUGUGCGAGUUCAUGGGUGGUAAAACUUGCGUGCGCAAUGAAAGUGAUUGCUGAGAUAUUAGCAUCAGCGGCCGACCAAUCAAUUGGGAGAGGUUUGAGCAUGAGCAUAUCUGUUAGGACCCGAAAGAUGGUGAACUAUGCCUGAGAAGGGUGAAGUCUGGGGAAACUCAGAU
rnacentral:rRNA from 1 species